rnacentral:rRNA from 1 species
CCUACGGGAGGCUGCAGUGGGGAAUAUUGCACAAUGGGCGCAAGCCUGAUGCAGCCAUGCCGCGUGUGUGAAGAAGGCCUUCGGGUUGUAAAGCACUUUCAGCGGGGAGGAAGGCGUUAAGGUUAAUAACCUUGGCGAUUGACGUUACCCGCAGAAGAAGCACCGGCUAACUCCGUGCCAGCAGCCGCGGUAAUACGGAGGGUGCAAGCGUUAAUCGGAAUUACUGGGCGUAAAGCGCACGCAGGCGGUCUGUCAAGUCGGAUGUGAAAUCCCCGGGCUCAACCUGGGAACUGCAUUCGAAACUGGCAGGCUAGAGUCUUGUAGAGGGGGGUAGAAUUCCAGGUGUAGCGGUGAAAUGCGUAGAGAUCUGGAGGAAUACCGGUGGCGAAGGCGGCCCCCUGGACAAAGACUGACGCUCAGGUGCGAAAGCGUAGGGAGCAAACAGGAUUAGAUACCCGAGUAGUC